GAAACCCUACCCUCAUUCUUUAAUUGACGCCACCUCUGAAUCCUCUCUUCCUAUCUUCUCUCUCAGACACCCUCAAACCCUAAUCACUGACCACAUUCUCCAGCCAUCUCCCGCGCCGGAAACCAUGAACUCUCAUCAUCUCUUGGUCUCUAUUUCACGCCAUAUCGUUGUGACACUACACUGAGGUCCUGAGUUGAACCUAGAGUGGUUCAAUUCCUAUCAAUGGUUUUUCAUUCCAUUUCUCGGCCAUCCAUGGCUAUUCGAGUAAGAUCUAUGACUUUUCUGACUAAAACAGGUAACAUCGUAAGGUUCUCUCAUCUUGUCUGGGCUCUCUGAAACCCUAACUCUUGAGAUUUUCUACUUUUCUUUAGAUCUGUCUUAGAUCUAGGUAUAUCCAUGAGUUUUUAACCAAUUUUUCUUCAUCUCUAUUAUUUUUCAAAAACCCUAGAUUCGCUGGUGUUUGAUUCUUCUCAGAUCUUUCUAGAUCUGAGGUGAUUCGAGUGUUAUUAAGCGUUUUCCUUUAAAACCUCUUGUUUUAACUAACUAUUUCGAUUUUUGUAUCACUCUUCCUAAACUAGGGUUCCUUCUGACUUCUAAGUGUUUGAUUAAUUAUCCUUUUGUCUUCGUGAUUGAUUUGUGCAAAAAUAUGAAACCCUAGUUGAUUCUAUAUGGUUCCUUCAAUCUUUCCUUCGAUUUUGGGUGCUUUUGUGGUACCAGUCGUGUUAGUUUUCUCUAUCUUUGGACUUAAAUAUUUUUCCUAGUUAAAUCGAGCAUUUUUUGUGGUUUUUCCUUAAUUAAUCUUUAUUAAUGUUCGAACCUACUUUUCCAGCUAAGUUCUAUAUUUUCCUUGAGGUCUUACUUAGUUUAAUCUCUAUUUUAUGGGAUUUGAGAAAUUCUUUCCAGAAAUCACUAUUAUUUUGAAGGUUUUGCUUAUUGCUUUAUUAAGAUUCGUGUGCAUAGAUUAUAUUUGUUUCCUUGUUUAUGACUUCAAUUGGUCGUCUCUGCCUUAAUUGAUUUCCUGUAUAAUUUUUGGAUUUUUACUGACUUCUAAUUUGGUAUUACUUGGACUCCUUGACUUACUUAAAACCCAUAUUGUUACCAUUAGUCAAUUACCCCUAAUCAAGGGGGUCUAUUCCGAAUCCCUUUUAUGUGAUUUGAUUAUGUAAUUCUAUGAUUGUCCCUAAUUGGCUAGAUUUUGAUUCGUCUAUCUUAUUGGUUCAACUCCUAAACUGCUAUAUAUACACUCUUGUUUUACCUGGCAAGACACGAACAAUUAGUUUAGCGGACACACACACACACACUCAGACUCUCUCUUCUUUCUCUACUACUUGUGCUAACUGUUUUCCUAGCUGGCUGAAAGCCAAGGCUAGACUGUGGAACUCUACUUCCUUUACUUUUCUGCACUUUGCUUCCUUAACCGGUAUGUUCCUUGUUCAAUUCUGAAACUCAACUUUAAGUGCUCCAUGUCUAUUGAUCCAUGUCUCCUUCUGCAUUAAUUUAAUGGCUUGUGUAUUUAAUUGCUCUCCUUGUUUACUGCUUUAUUCAGCCUACUUAAGUUUUGUCCUCUCUUUUUCAAGUGUGUAACCAGCAUGUCUACUCGAGCUCUUGCUUAUUUCCCUCAACUAGUAUGCUAUGUUAGUAUCAUAGACUCCUAAAUGUGUUUGGUUAACACUAAGUGGCAUGACUAAUCAUGUGUAAUAGCCCCUCUGUCUUCAGCAUGACUACUCCCAUACACGCUCUAUGUCUUAUUCCCUAUUACUAUUCUAAUUUCGAGCAUGAUUCCCUUGUUAACACUUUGAAGUGGUAGUCUGUGUUCUAAAAACCAAUCAGUUCCUACUUGUUCUUUGUAGUGGUUGGUCUAUAUGCUUCUCUUCUCAUCCAGGUUUAUGUGUUUCUAAUUUGAACUCUCUAUGUCCCCAACCCCCCUAAUCCUUGUCUGCAAAUCUAUUUGUCUUCACUUAGAAUCAAGUAAUAAAUGGCUUUAAUCUAAGAAUUUUAAUUUGUAUUUUGUGAUUGUGUGUUUUCCCAGAAUUGCUUCCAAAACCGCUUUCACUCUUAGAAUUUUUAAAAAACUAUGUCUAUUCCUGAAAACCUUUUUGUCGCUCCUAAAAGUUCUACUUCAACAUUGUUUUACUAAGUUCUUUUCAAGCACUCUCACUUUACUCUUAAACCACUAAGUUCUGCCCCCUUUUGUGUGAGCCUUGCCUUGGGAUCCUUAAUCUCCCUCUGAACUUGGACACAUAAAAGUUGGUCUUUCCACACUGCACUUACUCUGUAUUGGCUAUUGAUGUUUUAAGCGUCAAUACUACACAAGAGGGGGAGGGGGUGUAAUUUGUGUGGUAGCCAAUUUUCGCUUAACUAAGCUAUAGAAGAACCUGGUUCUUCUAGGUGUUCCAACCACUACUAUUUGCGGAAUAAUAAUUACUUAAAAUAAAGAACACAUAGAUUUUUACGUGGAAAACACCUGGCUCAAAAGGUGAAAAAACCACGACCUACUACUCAGUAGGAUUUUCCUAAACUUUCACUAAAAUCACUGAGCCAAAAUAUAAUUUACACAAACUCUUGUAAACCUAAGGAUUAACUCUAAUCCCAUUGUGGCACACAACCUCAACUGCUGCAACAACUUCAAGUUAACUCUAACUUGAAUACUAUAGGUACCUAAUUCAAUUGCUUCUAUGAAAGCUAAAAGGUACAAUGUUAAAUCACCUACUACAAUUGAACUAGAAUAAUAGAUAGACACUUGAAAUUGGUCCUUCUAUCUCGUUCAAGUAGCUUCAAAGGAGUGCACUCAAGUCACACAUAAACUGCUUGAAAAAUCGUUUUGCUCUUUUGCUCUCAAUUUAAGUUUAAGUUUUGCGUAUGUGCAUGACCUGUAAAAGUGAACAUUGACAUUUAAUAUGUUAGUAAUCAGAGUUUGAUUGGGAUUCAAUUACUGCUUCUUUAUCGUGGAAGAGUUCAUGAUGCUCUCAAACUCUAACACUAUCUUCUUCCUAUAUUAUGUUCUCUUCAUAUAAGAGACUGUCUUUCCUUAUGCAAUAUGUAAACUUUUCGUUCAGAUUAGGAGAUAUUGUUGCUUGAUCAGUAGGACUUAUCUCCUUAACGUGCAUCUCACAUGUAUAAGUUGAUAAUGAUUAUGCUUCACAAGAUGGACCUGGUCCAUGUCUGAGUUCUUUUGUCAAUCUUCAAAACUUCACCUGUUUUUGGGCCAACAAAUUCCCCUGUUUUUGAUGAUGACAAACUUUGUGCUUUUUACUUAUUUGAAACCUGUAAGAACUCAGGUUAACCAAUACAUGAAGUUUCACAUUCAAGGACAAUCAACUGACAGCUGAAUACACAUGUCCAAAGUCAAAAUGACGCAAAUAAUGGGACGUUUCACUGACCCGCCAACUCGGUUGUAACUUACGAAGGAAGGAACUUCGAUUAAUUUAUCGCUUUUUGCCGCUUCGAUAAAUCAACUCUACAAAAAAAAAGGGACUAUCUGUGUACGGACAAAAUUGGAGGCAAAGGUUUCCCCCGCUCCGCGAUGAGAGAAUGAAGGGGAAGCACAUAUCGACGUGAUUAUAAUCGAGGCUAGUUGCCCCUUAUAUCGAGGCUCGGGAGGAAUGCACGAUGUAUCUAAGGCUAAAUACGGUAAAGCAAUGUACCUCAGGCCGAGUAUAAAUUUUGGACCUCGGAAUACGCGGUGAACAAUUAUGCAUGACGGAUAGGGGACGUAAUAUUCGGCCUCAACAACAUAUUACGGCGUGAAUCUCGUUUAGUAUUAGGACUGAAAUUCUCCUACUAUAUAAAGAAAAAGUUCUUCUUUGAUCUAACACAUUAUAACACGCAAUUCGAAGCAAUAAAAGUUUGCUUUUGUCUUCUAGCUAAUGUUCAAGGCAUUAUUCACUUGUUCUUUUAUUCACUCUUAAGCGAGCCUGUAUCGAGGGUCCAAUUGAGGAUGAGUCCCAAUGUUCAGGGUUGGUCAUUAUAUUGCGAUUGGUUUGAUCAUUUAUUUCGUCUUUAAUUCAUCUAUCUUUUACUCCUAAUUGUUUGUAUUAAAUUAAAUCAUGUAUCCUUUAAACUGUGUGAAAAUUCAAUUGUUACUCAUUUUGAGUAAACACUUUUAACCAUAAGAUAAAUUUCAGCGUGUUUCAACUUAUCCGAGAUAUUUGGUUGGAACGUUGGAGGUAGUUGAAAAAAUCACUAUAUGGCCUUGAAUUUAUG
rnacentral:lncRNA from 1 species